rfam:Populus trichocarpa scaffold_17_contig_376, whole genome shotgun sequence.
GUGAGUCGUAUGAUGGGCAACUAUCUCCUACGGUUCGGAGAGGACUCAGUUAUUAGUUAGUACCCUCUUGGUUUCAGGGUGGACUCUUUCACUCUAU